AGUUCGAACGGUAACAGGCCUUCGGGCGCUGACGAGUGGCGGACGGGUGAGUAACGCGUAGGAAUCUGCCUGAUAGUGGGGGACAACGUGGGGAAACCCACGCUAAUACCGCAUACGCCCUACGGGGGAAAGCGGGGGCUCUUCGGACCUCGCGCUAUCAGAUGAGCCUGCGUUAGAUUAGCUAGUUGGUGGGGUAAAGGCCUACCAAGGCGACGAUCUAUAGCUGGUCUGAGGGGACGAUCAGCCACACUGGGACUGAGACACGGCCCAGACUCCUACGGGAGGCAGCAGUGGGGAAUAUUGGACAAUGGGCGCAAGCCUGAUCCAGCAAUACCGCGUGUGUGAAGAAGGCCUGAGGGUUGUAAAGCACUUUCAAUGGGGAGGAAAACCUGCCGGUCAAUACCCGGCAGCUUGACAUUACCUAUAGAAGAAGCACCGGCUAACUCCGUGCCAGCAGCCGCGGUAAUACGGAGGGUGCGAGCGUUAAUCGGAAUUACUGGGCGUAAAGCGUGCGUAGGUGGUGCGUUAAGUCAGAUGUGAAAGCCCUGGGCUUAACCUGGGAACUGCAUUUGAAACUGGCGUACUAGAGUUGAGUAGAGGGGAGUGGAAUUUCAGGUGUAGCGGUGAAAUGCGUAGAUAUCUGAAGGAACACCAGUGGCGAAGGCGACUCCCUGGACUCAACUGACGCUGAGGUACGAAAGCGUGGGUAGCAAACAGGAUUAGAUACCCUGGUAGUCCACGCUGUAAACGAUGUCAACUAGCCGUUGGUCCUAUUACAGGAUU
rnacentral:rRNA from 1 species